GCAAGUCGAGGGGUAACAGGGAUUGCUUGCAAUCCGCUGACGAGUGGCGCACGGGUGAGUAUCGCGUAUGCAAUCUGCCUUUAACUGAGAGAUAGCCCAGAGAAAUUUGGAUUAAUACCUCAUAAUAUUGUGAUUUGGCAUCACUUCACAAUUAAAGCUUCGGCGGUUAAAGAUGAGCAUGCGUCCUAUUAGCUUGUUGGUAAGGUAACGGCUUACCAAGGCAACGAUAGGUAGGGGGCCUGAAAGGGUGAUC
rnacentral:rRNA from 1 species